rnacentral:rRNA from 1 species
GACGAACGCUGGCGGCGUGCUUAACACAUGCAAGUCGAACGGAAGGGCCCUGCUUUUGUGGGGUGCUCGAGUGGCGAGCGGGUGAGUAACACGUGAGUAACCUGCCCUUGACUUUGGGAUAACUUCAGGAAACUGGGGCUAAUACCGGAUAGGAGCUCCUGCUGCAUGGUGGGGGUUGGAAAGUUUCGGCGGUUGGGGAUGGACUCGCGGCUUAUCAGCUUGUUGGUGGGGUAGUGGCUUACCAAGGCUUUGACGGGUAGCCGGCCUGAGAGGGUGACCGGCCACAUUGGGACUGAGAUACGGCCCAGACUCCUACGGGAGGCAGCAGUGGGGAAUAUUGCACAAUGGGCGGAAGCCUGAUGCAGCAACGCCGCGUGCGGGAUGACGGCCUUCGGGUUGUAAACCGCUUUCGCCUGUGACGAAGCGUGAGUGACGGUAAUGGGUAAAGAAGCACCGGCUAACUACGUG